AGUCUUAUAAACAUAAAAUGGUUUUACAGAAAGAAAAGCAGGAGAGGUUUGAGAAAAAUCACUUAUGGCCUCAGGCUUUGUUCUCCAUGCACAUAUACUCUUUCUUUUAGAAAAACUGGGGUUGGGAUUUGGGAUUUGGGAAGGUGGCUCAGACAUGCUGAUGCAAUAUCAACUGUACUUCUUCUGCAUGUCAACGCUUUCUCAUCCCUUGGUCACCACCAUGCUAAAGUGACGAUAAAGUGCCUAGAGAGGGAGAGGGAAGCGCUCCUUGCUAUCAAACAAGGCCUUUUUAACUCCAUUCGACUCCUUUCAUGGGGAAACAAAGCUAAAAAUCAAGAUUGUUGCAAAUGGGAAGGAGCCUACUGUGACCACCUAAAUGGUUAUUCAGCUUCAUCUUGGAGGGAUAUGGUGUCUUCGCUAGAUGAGAUACUAGAUUUCCAACAUUUUGAAGAUUCCUCGAUCUCUCUGUUUUACGAAAGCCCAACCCACAACUGACAACCCGAAAGGCCUGCAUAUAAACUGGGACAGAGCAAACCUUUAUUGUUGAUAUCACAACGGUCAGCCCCAAAUCUGGGUUGCACCUAGAUACUAGGGUUCUUCGAUUAAGAAUUCAACAAUCUAAAUUUUUCUUCAAAACUUGUUGAAACCUUAAUCGAAUAACCUCAGCAUCUCAUAUUUUGCCUUCGGAUCGUCGCUCGUGACCAAACCUUCAUAAAGUUCUCAAACCCAGCAGUAGUGUUCCUUUUGGCUUCAAGCACAAUUCCUUCAGUGCUGAUUGUGCUUUAUUCUCAAAUCCGAGUGCAGAAAGGGCAGCAGCCUAAAGAUAAGAUGCAAUGUGCCAUAUUAGCCUAUUAGGGAAGUUACUUGAGCUUGCAUUACAUUGUUUAGAGCUUCCUGAAUAGAAAAAUUUAUGGGAGAGACCAUGUUUCCAACGUCAAUGAACUACAAGUGAAAGCAACUGUUGGCAUGAUAACUGUUGAAAAGUAAUUGACACUGGGAAGUUCUAAAUUAAUUUACUGUUGAAGAAUAGACAGCCAUAUAAAUACUUGUAUGGCAUGAGCUUCUUCUUCCGUCAUCUGAAAUAAAGCUUGUUUUUAUUUAAAUGUUAUGAUGGAGACCAGAAAGCGCUUGAAACAUCUAUCCAAUAUCAACGCUUCCUUAUCUGUCAGCCACCACCAUGUUAAUGUGACGACGAGGUGCAUACAAGCUACUCUCUUCAUGGGAAAGCGAAGCCAAAAAUCAAGACUGUUGCAGAUGGGAAGGAGUGUACUGUGGCCUACUGACAGACCAUGUGAUUCAACUUCAUCUUGAAGGAGUCUCUUCACAAGGACCUUCAUCUUUGGAAGAACUAGAUGCACGCUUCCCUUCAGUUGAGGAGUUCACAGUUGCCAUGGACAACAAUAAAGCAGUACAAGUUUUCGAGGUCGGAGUGCAAGUUAAAUUCACAAUUAUUAUAACUAUACUAAAGGAAGGUUUUUGGUUUUGUAGAUUAGGAGUAACAGACGAUUUUGCCACUGCCUCUUCUCUGUUCUUACGGAAUUGCCCCAACACCUGUCUACUUCCUGUCCUGCUGCUCAGUACUACCGUGGCGCUGUUUAGCGGCGUGGCUCUGCUUCUUUGGAGGCUAAUCGGUGCAGGCAGAAAGAGGCAUAGAAGAAAGAGUUCUGGUAUAAGGAGAACGACCGAGAAACUUUUCUGAUAUUAGAUUUUGAUCAAACAGCAAAGCUACUUGGUCUUGAGGGUGAAUUCAGGUCACAGGGUUGAAAUCAUUUUUAGGUUUUGUUUAUUGAUUCGGUAAUUUGGAUGGUAUUCUACACUAAAGUUUCAGUCUUGAUUUCUUAUUGGGUAUUUUUGCUUUGUUCUUUCAUUUCUGCUAAUUUUAUUUAAUUGGGUUAUAGAUAACAGUGAGAUGUACUAUCUGGUUACUCUCCACCCCUACCCAUGAAGUGAAAAGGAGGGUUUCUCUACUAAUGGCGGCUGCAACCUUUCAAGUGGCUACAGUUGGUUCUCUCUUUAAUCUGGCCAUUACCCAAGGAAAAUUGUGGAACAAAUGGUUGAUUGUCCAAUGGCUGAUCUAAGCACAAGUUACUGUUCUGUUGGAAGGUGCAAGCGCUGCUUUUCUACGCUGUGAGGGUGUUGCUUUCUAAGAUAGCUAUUGCACCUGUUAACCCAACAUUCUUGCCUCCGACUGAGAUGAAUGUGAGAUGUGUGCAAGAAAAUAUAUACUUUCCAAAUAUUGACAAGAAGGUUUUUCAAGCUGAUGUUAAGCUCUUUUUUGAAUCAGUUUGUGGAGAGGUUUAUCGUCUGAGGCUGCUUAGAGUCUGUCACCUUUUUAAUCGAAAAUGUCCAAGAUAACUAUAUUUGUUUCUUAAUUCAUUGUAUCUGAUGAACUUUGGCUUGGCCUUGACACCUGGUACCAGAGGUGCGUGGAAUUUUUUUCGUUUCUUUUACUCGACAUGGAAAUAGUCAAUUUCUAUUAUGACUAUGAUGCUUGGGUGGAUGAGUCAAAGCCUUACUUUCUUUCUCAAAUACUUUACAAUUUUGAAUGAGAUCCAGAAGUAUGAGCAACAUUGACUAUUCUCAGUUGUUUCGAACCCCCCUCAAAUUGGCCUACUAAUUGAUGUUUGGCUGUAUCCUUUAUAUUGAAUGCCAGAUGCGGCACAUCUGGAUGAACCGAGGGAAUCUAAUGUAUUUUUGUUAUGUCCAACCAUUUUUGUAACCAGUAUCAAAAGCAACUUUGGUUACAAUGUUUAUUUUUUGAAAAUCGUAAAUAGCCAAUCUUAGUCUGUCUGGAACUACGAUUUUUGAAACAUGGUUAGAACACCAGAUUUUGAAAUAUGUAAAUAUACAUCGUUUAAUGAAUAUAUGUAUACAUUUCUCGCAA